GGUUAAGCGACUAAGCGUACACGGUGGAUGCCCUGGCAGUCAGAGGCGAUGAAGGGCGUGCUAAUCUGCGAUAAGCGCCGGUAAGGUGAUAUGAACCGUUAUAACCGGCGAUACCCGAAUGGGGAAACCCAGUGUGACUCGUCACACUAUCAUUAACUGAAUCCAUAGGUUAAUGAGGCGAACCGGGGGAACU
rnacentral:rRNA from 4 species